AUCACUGCAUUUUCAGAGAAGCACUGCCCUAAAUGUGAUACAAUGUAGAGGCGUAGAAGCAUAAUCUAGAGAACAAAGAUCUAUAGGUUCUGAGUGCUGAAAGGAACAACUGCUUGGCAAUUCCACUGUGUACUUGCAAGAGAGAAAAGGUUUGGUUCAUAAAAACACCAGAGGAAAAAAGAUUAAACAAAAACAGUGGUUAAGAUCACGAGGUCAAGAGAUCGAGACCAUCCUGGUCAACAUGGUGAAACCCCGUCUCUACUAAAAAUACAAAAAAUUAGCUGGGCACGGUGGCGCGUGCCUGUAAUCCCAGCUACUCAGGAGGCUGAGGCAGGAGAACUGCUUGAACCCAGGAGGCGGAGGUUGCAGUGAGCUGAGAUCGCGCCAUUGCACUCCAGCCUGGGAGCCUGGGUAACAAGAGCGAAACUCCGUCUCAAAAAAAAAAAGAUUACACUUUUCACCCAUGCCAGUGGCAAAGAUGAGAAAGAGAGAUGUUGGGAUAGAUAUUGAAGUGGAGACGUUAUAUAACUUGCCUAAGGUCACACAGCUAACAAAAGGUAUGUCAUGAAUUCAAAGGCUCCUGAGUCUGUGCUCUUGGCCACUCUAAUGCCAAUCAUGGAUAUUUAAUAAUGGGGGAAUUUUUUUCUUUGUUAAGAGAAUGUAAGUAGA